rnacentral:lncRNA from 1 species
GCAAAUUGAUGAGGAAAUAGGAAUGGAGAAUCCAAAGCAACACAUUUUGAUUUAUCAAAAUGACACUUGGCUCUGUUUCUGCAUGGGCGCUUCAUCAGGUGUCAUCCCCUCUGAACCUCUGUCUGUCUUAACUGCAAAUUACACUUGUGAGUAACACUCUUUUCCUUCAUACAUGCUAUGUUUUUCUUUUCUUUUCUUUCUUUUUUAAAUGUGAAAAUAUUUUUUUUAAAACAAAAAGAAAUGAAAUGAAAAAUAAGAAAUAAAAAGUGAACUCAAAUGGUUUUUCUAAAAGUAAAGCUCCUAGAUAAAUAUUCAAUGAGCAACUUCGUUAAUGUUGAAUCAGAAUCAAUUUUUUCCUUUAAAAAGUUAGAGUGCAUCAUAUCCACAUUAUAAAUUUGUCUAAGUAUUAGUAUACCAUGUUUACAUAGAUUUUUCAUUUGAUAUCUAUACAUUUUCAUGAAUUCAGCACACACGAUUUGACUAGAAAUGUCACAUUUGGGCACUGUAGUAGGCGUUAAUAGAUAUAAAGGAAACAGUGGAUUCUUUUCUCGAUUUGUGUGGCUUCUUUUGCUGUGAUUUAUUUCUUUUGGGAAUGCGUACUCUUCUAAACUAUAGUCUACUGUCUGCUAAUAAAUCAUUGUGUCUUUUUCUUAGUUUUUUUUGUUUUUCUUUGAUUAAAAAACAAGUUGACAGAGGUAGAAAUACUGUUUAAAGCAUGAUCAAAUAACUCACAUAAUAAAUAUAUAUACGGAAAUUAUUUAUAAUAUAUAGAAAAAGAAAAAACAAAUUUAAAUGGGUCUUGAAAAAUUUAAUAGUAUUUUACUGUGUUUAGUAAAGAGUUUCAAUUUUUGUUAUAUCUAAAAAUGUCUCAAUAAUUAAAUUGGAUCCUAAUUUAAUUAAUUGAUCUAAAUUUUAGGAAGUUCGAGUCCUAAUUAAAUUAAGCUUCUCUUAUUAUCAAAGCUAGCUUGGAGAUAUCAAUAAUUUUUUAACCAUUAGUUGGUAAAGUUGAUCUUCAAUCAGUAGAAGCUGAUUUUCAACUAACAUAUUAUUGAACUGAUUAUGGUUGGUUUAGUCGUUUAAGAGUAAAAGUAAGACAAUUGAUUAAAUAAAUUAAUUCUCUCAAAAUAUUUUUAAUAUUUAUCCAUUUAAAAAUUUUCUCAUACAAAUAUAAAGGGAUAGUUGCAAAUUUAACAAUUAAAUUCAAAAUAAUUAAGUAUAUAGCAACAUUUUUAAAAAAUUACAAAUAUAGCAAAAUUUGUCAAAUUCUAUUAAUGAUAGAGUCUAUCACUGAUAGAUCAUGUUGUAAAAAUUGAUCUAUUCCCGAUAGAUCAUACGAGUCUAUCAGUGAUACAAGUCUAUCAGUGAUAGUUUUGCUAUAUUUGCAAUUUUUUAAAAAUGUUGCUAUAUUCUUAAUUAUUAUUUCUCAAAUGGUCAUCCAUUAUAAUUACCCUAAUAUUAAACUAACUUCUCUCGUUCUCCAAGUCGUCGAUAAGACUUAAUCUUUUGUUCAACUAUGCGCUACUAAUUGAAAAAAGUUGAGAAGGAUCCAUUCGAAGAUUCUCAUGAUUUUAGGCUUCACAUACAAAGCCAAAAUACAAGCCCACACCCUAAUCAAAUCCAACCUUUUUUUAAAGUUAAAUAUGGUGGGAUAAUUAUAAUUGAUAACAAUUUUAUGAAUAAUUAUUAAAUAUAUAAUAUUAUUUUAAAAGAUUAUAAAUAUAACAAAAUUUAUCUGUGAAAUUUUUGAUGAUAGACUCUUAUGGUUUAAGAGUGAUAGACUUAGACAGAUUUUGCUAUAUUUACUAAUUUUUUAAAAUAUCGUUAUAUACUUAGUUAUUUUGAAUCUAAUGGUUAUAUUUAUAACUAUUCUAAUAACAUAUCUAGAUUUAGUGAACUUUUGAAAUUAUAAAUUUGAUUUAAAUAGUUGUAAAUAUAGUAAUUAAAUUCAAAAUAUUAGCAUGUAUAGUAAGAUUUUUAAAAAAAAUUAUAAAUAUAAUAAAAUUUGUCAAAGCCUACAAUGAUAACCCUUUUAAAAACAUUCACCUAGAAGCCUAAUAGGCUUUAUUAUAUUUUCAAUUUUAAAAAAAUAUUGUUAUAUAUCUAAUAUAAAUUUAAAAAAUUUAAGAUUUUAUAAGACCAAGUUUAAAUAUAUCUUAUAAAUUAGGUUCUUUUUUAAUUUAAAUAUAACAUUUCAAAACUUAUUAAAUAUAAAAUUGAAAGUUUGAGUACCUAUUAAAGAUUAGACAUUUACCACCAUAUUAAACCUUUUUGGAAAAAGUUUAGAGAUUACAUAGAUAGGGUUGGCAGCAUAUUCUCAAAAUUACUAAACUUACAGUUUACCACUGUUUUUUCUCUCUCUCUCUCUUCAACUUUUUUUUUUAAUGUAUAAUUUUUUACGCAAUUAAAAUACACAAUCCAACAAAAAUAAUAAAUAAAUAAAUAAAAUUUAGGGUUUAUGGAGAAAAAAACGUUUUUGAACCGUAAUAGUUGUUACAACCACAUUACUAGGCUUUCAAUUUGAUUAACCAAUUAUUAAACUUGUGAACUUUAAUAACUAACCUCCUAAGCAUUGGAAAAAAUACGUAUCUUUAGAUGGGUAUUAAUAAUUUUGUUGUUUUUCUCAAAUUUCUAUGAAUUCUGUAAGUUUCAAAAACUAUAUAAUUGGCGUCCAGUUAAAAAUAAUGUAAUUUUUUUUCUAGUAUUAAGAAUUUGAAUAAUUUCUUCAACAAUUUUUGUAGUUUGAAAAAUUGAUUUAAUCAACACUUAUCAAUGUAGUUUGUGGUCAAUUGUUGUACUUUGUCAUGUAGUGAGAGUUUGAUUGCAACAAAAUUUUGAAAUUUUUUAUGAGUUUUUCUUAACCACUGUAACGUACGAUUAAGUACUAUUUUAAAUAACCAACACGAAAUUCUAUCUAUCUUCAUUUAGGUGAUCGAUCAAUUAAAAAUUUUAUUACAUCAAUCUUAUGUUAUGUCCGUUUUCUCCUCGUGGAUUUAAAGGUAAAUUUGACAUCGAGAUUGAUAAAGCCCUUGUAAAUAAUUUUGAGUUUAUUAUUAUUUUAUUUCGAGACUAUGUUUCUACGAUGAUGUUAAAUCUUGAUUUUAAAAUUUUAAAUCAUUAAAAUGAAAUUCAAAAUCUAUGGCAAAUAAUAAAAUUACUAAAAAUAUUUAUAAAACUAACAAAAUUUCAUAUUUAAUUAGAAGGUGUAUGAUAUGAGGUAAUGAGUGAAUUACUAUAGUCCUAGUUUAUUAUACUUGAGUUAUAAUAGAUUGUAUUUAAAGCGUAAAUUAUUUUAGUUUGAAUUAUAACAAUACGCAUUUGUAGAUUAUUUUAGUUUAAAAACGAAAUAGCAAGCAAAUAAUUAAGAAAAUGUCAAAUAGUAAAAACCGUAGUAAAUGUGAGUUUUUGAAACAGUGUUUACGGAAGUUAAUUGAUAAUUUUUAAAUAAUAUUUAUUGUAACUAGAUGUGAUUAUUAUGAUCUUGCAAAAUUCUCGUUCCAAACGACUUGUUAGUGUUCAUCAUCAAUAGAAAACGAAAUACAAAUGUUUAAUAGACUUCUAUCAAUAAAAAAAGUUGAAAAUAUAAACAACCUACCAAGGUGUGUUUGGGGGAAGGGUUGAGUUAUGAAGGGUUAGUGUUAUGAUAAAUAUAAGUGUUAUAAUAAAUAUAAGUGUUGUAAUAAUAUGUGUUUGGGGGAAGAGUUAUGUAGGAAGACUUAUGAGAUGGUUAUGAUAAAAUGUGUUUAGGAUAAGGGUUAUGUAUGAAGGAUUGUGAUAAGAUGUGUUUGAGGAAAGAGUUAUGGAUGGACUCUUAUGAAAUUUAUUUUUCUGUACAUUUUUUUUUUUAAAUUCGUAUUCUAAAUCCAACAACAUUUUUGUAUAUUUAAUUUACCAAAUUAUCCUAUUUUCAUAAAACAAUUUUCAAUAAUUUCUUUAAACGUGACGUCUAUUUCCAACUUUUUUUAAGUUGUCGUUAUGUCCGAAUAAUUUAUUGAUUUUUUUAAAGAAAUGUGUAUUCUAAAUCCAAUACACAUAUUUAUUUGAUGUAAUUGUUACGUGCAAGUAAAUUAUUAUUAUUUUUUUAAAAAAGUCAUAUUCUAAUUCCAUUAUACAAAUUUUGUAUAUUUAAUUUACUAAAUCGUCAUUGUUUUCGUAACACAAUUUGCCUUAAUUUCUUUAAAUAGGAUAUGAACCUUUUUUUUAAGUAAUUGGUUGAAUAAAUUACUCUUUUUCCUUUUAAAGAUAAAACAUUCUCACUUUUCUUCUUAUCUCAAUAUUAUGUUUUUUUUCCUCUUUUUAAAUUAAAGAAUUGUUGUUCCUAGGAGCAACAAAAAUGAUAAAAAAUUAUAUACGAAAGAUAUAAAAGAUAAAAAUUAAGGAGGAAAGAGAAAAAAAAAGUACAUUUUGAAAAAGUAUAUCAUAAUUUGGUAAAAAAAUAUAUUCAAACUUUAAUUCAAAUAAAUAAUAAAUCAAAUUUUGCCCUUAUAUAUUUAAAUUUCAAAUACUUCAAAAAAAUAUUUGUUAUACAUUGUUUUAGGUUGUUUAAAGAUUCAAAAGUUAUUUAAUUUAACAUUAAAUUGUUUGAUUUUGUUUUAAUUUUUUAUAAAUUUAAUAAAAUUCAUUUUUUAGAAAUUUAUUUUACUCAAAUUUAUCAGAUACAUGUAGAUUAGAUUUAAAAUAAAAUAUUUGAAAAGUGAAAGAAGAUUAUAAAAAGAAAAACAAAUAAAAGACAUGAAAUAAUAAAAAAAUAAAAAAAUAAAAAAAACAAAUAUGAAAACUAAAUGAAUGAACUAAUCACAAUUAAUAUUUAAUUAAAAUUAAUUUCAAAAAUAAAAUAAAUUAAAAAUAUUAUUUUUAAAUUAUUAAAUUAAUUAAAAAUAAAUGACAUUUGAUAAAUAAAAGAGUAAUUUAUUUUAAAAAAGUAAAAUAGUAAAACUAGGAAGAAUUGAAAAUGUAGAAUUAUGGGGAGUUGACAAAGUAGGAUUAGAGAAAAACAAGAGGAAAAAAGAAUAUGGGUUAUGAUAAACCUAACCUAACCGCCAUAACCCUUCCCCAAAAGCCUCGUCAAUAUUUACGAGUGCAUUAAUAAGAUAAAUUAUAAAUUAUUUAAUCCAUUAUAUUAUUUAACUCUCUAAAUUAAUAUUUUAUUUUCAAAGUAAGAUAUUAAGCGAAAGAGAGAUAGAGAUAGAGAUAGAGAAGGAGAAAAGUGAGAAUAUUGAGAUAUUUAUUCAUUUAUUAAAAAAAAAAGGAAAAGGAUGUGAGGAAAGUUAGGAUGAAAAGUGAAAGAGUUGGCAUUGGGAAAGAACAGCCACAGCCACAGCCAAAGCCACACGCAAAAGAAGGAGCGUGUUAGAAAGUAGAAAGUGUUUAGAUUCAUUAGCUGUCUGUCGGUGCUCGCCUGCUCGGACCCAUUGGAUCCGAACCGACCCUUCAACUUACCCAAUCCUAUGAACCGACGGACUAUUCUCUUCACCCUUUUUUUCUCUCCUUUCUCUCUUUUCUUUUUUCGUUCAUAAAAUGCUAACAUCCUUUUACCUUAACACUUUAUUUAUUUUUUUAUUUUGAUUUUGUUAGUUUCUUUUUUUAAUAUAACCAAUUAAACCAAAUUGUUUAUAAAUAUGGUAAAAUUAUACAAUGAUAGACUAUUAUUUAUAUGUUUAUAUUAUCGUAGAUUUAGUACGAUAUAUUUUGAUACACUGUGAUAUGUUUUUAUAAAUAGAAAAAAUUGAUAAGCUAUUUACAUUUUAGAGAACAAAAUUUUUAAUUGACAAUUUGUAUUACACUUUAUAUUUAUUUGAUACUGUUUUUUUUAUAAUUUUCUUUUCUAUACUUGUUAUAGUAUUUUUAGGUUUCAUAUUUAGUAUAUAUUUUUUCUGAGAAAGAGAGUGCAUUUUCCUACAUUUAGUGAAGUUAAAAAAUUACAAUAAAUAAAUAAACUAUCUCAAUUUUAGUUAUUUCACAAAUUCGAGAGCAAAUAGGAUGAUUUGAGUUUUGACAUUAAAUAACUUUCUUUGUAAGCCUACGGUUGUCAAACUAAAGUGGUUUUUUUACCAAAAUCUUAUUGUUUUUUCGUUUUUGUUGCUUCGUCUCAUAAUUAAAUUUAUAUCAAUAAUAGUAUUUAGUCACGUAAUAAUUAUCUUCCAAUUUAUCUAUACAUUCAUUUUUAAACCUUUGUACAUUUUUUCGAAUCUUAAAACAUAACGGAGAAUAAAAUUUAAAACUAUGGACAAAUUUAAAUUAUAUAGACGAAUAUCAUGGGAGAUUUUAAUAGAUAAAACAACUCCAAUAAACAUCUCUCUUUAUUUAAAGUUUCAAAUAUUUCUGGAUUUAUGGAAUCUAAUGCGAUCUCACCUACUAAAGAAAUGUAUAUAUAUACAAUUGAAAAUUUUGUGAAUGUUUCCCAAUUGCUGAAAUUUAUUUAUUUAAAUGUGGCUUAACCACUAAAUUAGUGUAAAACAACUGUGGUUCGAGAAGAAAGAAUAUAGAAUUUAUUUUAUUUAUUUAUUUAAAAUAUAAUAAGCUAUAAAAGACAAAAAUUAACAAAUCAUCAAUAUUCUUUAUUUAUAGAACUUUCCCUUUUUAUAUUCCAAAAUGUGAAUCCAUUCUCUUUAUUCACGUGCCAAUAAUUGUUAUUUUUCUAAUCUCAUCCUUUCUUCUUCUACUCACCAUCGUUUUAAUAUUCAAAUUCUACCAAAUGAUAUUUAUUUUAGUCAUGAGUUUAGCUCAAUCAGCAUCGAUAUGCUUUUUUAAAAAGUCUUUAUUUUAAAUUUCUCAAAUAUUUUCACAUAGUGGUAUAUCAAACAUGUGUAUUUCCAAACAUAUAUAAUUCUAGGCAUCUCAAUAUUUCGGUUACUGCAUUUUCGAGAAGUAAACGACCUCUUAAUUUUUUUAAAGAAAGAAAUGCCAAUAUUAUUGUUUUUGGUGGAAUUAAAGUCAACGAGAUGAGUUACUCAUGAAUAUAUGACACAAUUACAUGGUAGUAAAAAAAAUCUUCCACAUGUUCUUGUGCAUGAAACUGAGCUAUAUGUUAUUUUGUUUUAUAGACACACCUUCCUUCAUCUUUCUUAGUACUAAGGAAAUAUAGGUUCAUUUUUUUCCAACUAACGGUAUGACUUAUAAAGUCUUCAUACCUGUAAAGCCUUUAUAAGGUUGUAAAGACUUUUAAAGUCUUCACAAGGUUAAACAAGUGUCAAAUAGAAAAGAAGUUCAACUCAAUUGAUAUUGGUGUGUGCUUUUAAAGAUUAAUUGAGAGAUUUGUAGUUCAAACUCCACACUACCGCUAGUACUGGAAAAGGUGUCAAAUCAUAGAAGCUUAUGAUCAAAUUGUAAUACAUUUUCUCUAUUUUAGGGUGAAUUCUAAUAUUUCAGUCACUAAUUUUAUGAGAAAAGACACCAUUUUAAAACAUGACAAUGAUGACUGGCAACAGUGACAAUAGGUCUAUGGUUAAAGAAAACUACAAAAGAGGAAUCAAACAGAGGAUAAAUAAGAUGAAGAAAUUAUGGCAACACUUCCAAUCUCAUGUCAUGCUGUUCUAUUUUUGUUAGGUCAAGGUCGAUCGGCUGAUAAUCAAAACAGUUGAGGAAAUACUACAUUUGCUUUUAUGAGAAAAGACACCAUUUUAAAACGUGAUAACGAUGACAAGCGACAACGACAAGAAAUAGAGAAAUUCAUAAAAGAACGAAGUUAUAUCAACACUCCUAAUCACAUAUUAUUUCAAUAUUUUAUAAUUAGGUAAAGAUCGAUUAACAAUAAAGAGGGUUGAGGAGAGAUUACUUUGAACCCUAUUCAAAUGUCAAACGUGCAUAACACUUUUUUUUUUUUUAAUGAAUUUUUAGUUCAAUUUGAUGAAGUUUGAUUUAAAUUUCUAAUUUCUUAAUCAAAUGUAUAUGUAUUUAUUCUAGUGAAAUUAUGCUUAAAUUGUUAAUGUAACGGUCAAAUGUAAAUAUUCAUCACUUCUCUCUUUUUUUUUUCUCUUUCUUAUUUUUAGUUACAAUAUCUCUUUAAUUCAUUCCUUUAAAAUAAAUACUUUACUCGGUUUGAUUAAGGACAUUAAACAAGGAUUAUUUGUGACCAAUGAUUUCUUCAUUUAUAUUCCUUUUAAAGAAUGCAACAUCCAACUACACAAGAACACGUACAAGAAAAAGCAAGAGAAAACUACGUAGGAUAAGGAAUACUGAA